AAAAGGGGCUUUAAGGAAAAAGAGCUUUAAAAAAGCUUUUCCGUAAGAUAAUGCCGGGGAAGGUUUUCCGGUUUAUCCCGGAGGGCUUGUAGCUCAGUUGGUUAGAGCGCGCGCUUGAUAAGCGUGAGGUCGGAGGUUCAAGUCCUCCCAGGCCCACCAUUUUGUAUCAAUCUAUAAGCGCUUGUAGAACUUUCUUCUAUAAGGCUUUCUUGUAUAUUUAUAUGAAGCUUAUCUACGAAGAAGUUUCCUUAUCAAAAUGUGAAGUUUCUUUCCUUUGCUUAAGCAAUCGGGAGUUAAAGCGGUUCAAACGAACAGUGAUCCCAUAAAGGGUAAUGUUGAAUUGAAAAAUCUCAUUUACAAGUUUUGAACCUUUUCUCUUUAUUUAGGGGCCGUAGCUCAGCUGGGAGAGCACCUGCUUUGCAAGCAGGGGGCCAUCCGGUUCCAACUCGAAUUUAAAAGUCUCGAACGCUUUAUCCUUCUUUGGGGGCCGUAGCUCAGCUGGGAGAGCACCUGCUUUGCAAGCAGGGGG
rnacentral:misc_RNA from 1 species